GGGAAUAUUGCACAAUGGGCGCAAGCCUGAUGCAGCCAUGCCGCGUGUAUGAAGAAGGCCUUCGGGUUGUAAAGUACUUUCAGCAGUGAGGAAGGUGGAUAUGUUAAUAGCAUAUUCAUUUGACGUUAGCUGCAGAAGAAGCACCGGCUAACUCCGUGCCAGCAGCCGCGGUAAUACGGAGGGUGCGAGCGUUAAUCGGAAUUACUGGGCGUAAAGCGCAUGCAGGUGGUUUGUUAAGUCAGAUGUGAAAGCCCGGGGCUCAACCUCGGAAUUGCAUUUGAAACUGGCAAACUAGAGUACUGUAGAGGGGGUAGAAUUUCAGGUGUAGCGGUGAAAUGCGUAGAGAUCUGAAGGAAUACCGGUGGCGAAGGCGGCCCCCUGGACAGAUACUGACACUCAGAUGCGAAAGCGUGGGGAGCAAACAGGAUUAGAUACCCUGGUAG
rnacentral:rRNA from 1 species